GUGAACGCUGGCGGUAGGCCUAACACCUGCAAGUCGAACGGCAGCACAGUAAGAGCUUGCUCUUACGGGUGGCGAGUGGCGGACGGGUGAGGAAUACAUCGGAAUCUACUUUUUCGUGGGGGAUAACGUAGGGAAACUUACGCUAAUACCGCAUACGACCUACGGGUGAAAGCAGGGGAUCUUCGGACCUUGCGCGAUUGAAUGAGCCGAUGUCGGAUUAGCUAGUUGGCGGGGUAAAGGCCCACCAAGGCGACGAUCCGUAGCUGGUCUGAGAGGAUGAUCAGCCACACUGGAACUGAGACACGGUCCAGACUCCUACGGGAGGCAGCAGUGGGGAAUAUUGGACAAUGGGCGCAAGCCUGAUCCGGCCAUACCGCGUGGGUGAAGAAGGCCUUCGGGUUGUAAAGCCCUUUUGUUGGGAAAGAAAAGCAGCAGGUUAAUACCCCGCUGUUCUGACGGUACCCAAAGAAUAAGCACCGGCUAACUUCGUG
rnacentral:rRNA from 1 species